UGGCUCAGAUUGAACGCUGGCGGCAGGCCUAACACAUGCAAGUCGAACGGUAACAGGAAGCAGCUUGCUGCUUCGCUGACGAGUGGCGGACGGGUGAGUAAUGUCUGGGAAACUGCCUGAUGGAGGGGGAUAACUACUGGAAACGGUGGCUAAUACCGCAUAACGUCGCAAGACCAAAGAGGGGGACCUUCGGGCCUCUUGCCAUCAGAUGUGCCCAGAUGGGAUUAGCUUGUUGGUGAGGUAACGGCUCACCAAGGCGACGAUCCCUAGCUGGUCUGAGAGGAUGACCAGCCACACUGGAACUGAGACACGGUCCAGACUCCUACGGGAGGCAGCAGUGGGGAAUAUUGCACAAUGGGCGCAAGCCUGAUGCAGCCAUGCCGCGUGUAUGAAGAAGGCCUUCGGGUUGUAAAGUACUUUCAGCGGGGAGGAAGGUGUUGUGGUUAAUAACCGCAGCAAUUGACGUUACCCGCAGAAGAAGCACCGGCUAACUCCGUGCCAGCAGCCGCGGUAAUACGGAGGGUGCAAGCGUUAAUCGGAAUUACUGGGCGUAAAGCGCACGCAGGCGGUCUGUCAAGUCGGAUGUGAAAUCCCCGGGCUCAACCUGGGAACUGCAUUCGAAACUGGCAGGCUUGAGUCUUGUAGAGGGGGGUAGAAUUCCAGGUGUAGCGGUGAAAUGCGUAGAGAUCUGGAGGAAUACCGGUGGCGAAGGCGGCCCCCUGGACAAAGACUGACGCUCAGGUGCGAAAGCGUGGGGAGCAAACAGGAUUAGAUACCCUGGUAGUCCACGCCGUAAACGAUGUCUACUUGGAGGUUGUGCCCUUGAGGCGUGGCUUCCGGAGCUAACGCGUUAAGUAGACCGCCUGGGGAGUACGGCCGCAAGGUUAAAACUCAAAUGAAUUGACGGGGGCCCGCACAAGCGGUGGAGCAUGUGGUUUAAUUCGAUGCAACGCGAAGAACCUUACCUGGUCUUGACAUCCACAGAAGAAUCCAGAGAUGGAUUUGUGCCUUCGGGAACUGUGAGACAGGUGCUGCAUGGCUGUCGUCAGCUCGUGUUGUGAAAUGUUGGGUUAAGUCCCGCAACGAGCGCAACCCUUAUCCUUUGUUGCCAGCGAUUAGGUCGGGAACUCAAAGGAGACUGCCAGUGAUAAACUGGAGGAAGGUGGGGAUGGCGUCAAGUCAUCAUGGCCCUUACGACCAGGGCUACACACGUGCUACAAUGGCGCAUACAAAGAGAAGCGACCUCGCGAGAGCAAGCGGACCUCAUAAAGUGCGUCGUAGUCCGGAUUGGAGUCUGCAACUCGACUCCAUGAAGUCGGAAUCGCUAGUAAUCGUGGAUCAGAAUGCCACGGUGAAUACGUUCCCGGGCCUUGUACACACCGCCCGUCACACCAUGGGAGUGGGUUGCAAAAGAAGUAGGUAGCUUAACCUUCGGGAGGGCGCUUACCACUUUGUGAUUCAUGACUGGGGUGAAGUCGUA
rnacentral:rRNA from 1 species